rnacentral:misc_RNA from 1 species
GAUGAAGAACGUAGCGAAAUGCGAUACGUAAUGUGAAUUGCAAAUUCAGUGAAUCAUCGAGUCUUUGAACGCACAUUGCGCCCCCUGGUAUUCCGGGGGGCAUGCCUGUCCGAGCGUCAUUGCUGCCCUCAAGCACGGCUUGCGUGUUGGGCCCCGUCCUCCGAUCCCGGGGGACGGGCCCGAAAGGCAGCGGCGGCACCGCGUCCGGUCCUCGAGCGUAUGGGGCUUUGUCACCCGCUCUGUAGGCCCGGCCGGCGCUUGCCGAUCAACCCAAAUUUUUUAUCCAGGUUGACCUCGGAUCAGGUAGGGAUACCCGCUGAACUUAAGCAUAUCAAUAAGCGGAGGA